rnacentral:rRNA from 1 species
ACACCGGCAGCUCAAGUGGUAGCCGCUUUUAUUGGGCCUAAAGCGUCCGUAGCCGGUCUGAUAAGUCUCUGGUGAAAUCCCACAGCUUAACUGUGGGAAUUGCUGGAGAUACUAUCAUGACUCGAGGUCGGGAGAGGCUGGAGGUACUCCCAGGGUAGGGGGGAAAUCCUGUAAUCCUGGGAGGACCACCUGUGGCGAAGGCGUCCAGCUGGAACGAACCUGACGGUGAGGGACGAAAGCCAGGGGCGCGAACCGGAUUAGAUACCCGGGUAGUCCUGGCCGUAAACGAUGUGGACUUGGUGUUGGGAUGGCUUCGAGCUGCCCCAGUGCCGAAGGGAAGCUGUUAAGUCCACCGCCUGGGAAGUACGGCCGCAAGGCUGAAACUUAAAUGAAUUGGCGGGG